GAAGUAUGAAGUUUCCAGAACCCUAAUAUCUCUACAAGUUUCUUAUUUAAACAACUGAAUACCUCUUUUUAGUUUCUUAUUAUAAUUUGUUUUCCGUUCUGCCAACGUUUUCGAUCUUUAGCUACGUUUUUCCAUCUGUUGUUGUAUUUAUUUUUAGAUUAUCAUGUCUGGAGGAAAGUUUUUCUUACAGAGAGUUCUUAACUAUGUUAUCAAUGAAUUCGUCGUUGAUCGACUCGCCAACAGUCAUUCGUUUCAGAGGUUUGCAGUAAGGACAUCUAGAACACUGGAUGAGGUUUCUAAAUUAGCUGAGCAAAAGAAGAGAGAAAUUGCUGAGCAAAUAAAAGAUGCUUCCAAAAAUUUUGAGUCAUUCAAGAACCAGUAGUUCCACAAUGGGACUGAUGAUUGAUCGAUUGAUGCUGUGAUGUAAAGUUAGCAUUUAAGAAAUGCAAUUAGCAUAAUAACGCAAACUCCCCAGUGUAAUUUCUAUAGCUUACUGGACACCGUAGUCACACGUCUAUUUAGAUUGUGGCUAUAUUAUGUUGUGAUUUGUAUAAUAUAAUGUGUUGAGUGAGAAUACAAAUUCUCACUCAGUGGCGGGUUAUUUUUGGCUUGAACAAUUUUGUUGACAAAUUAAUAAACACAUUUGGUA